UACGUAGGGGGCGAGCGUUAAUCGGAAUUACUGGGCGUAAAGCGUGCGCAGGCGGUGAUGUAAGACAGAUGUGAAAUCCCCGGGCUCAACCUGGGAACUGCAUUUGUGACUGCAUCGCUGGAGUACGGCAGAGGGGGAUGGAAUUCCGCGUGUAGCAGUGAAAUGCGUAGAUAUGCGGAGGAACACCGAUGGCGAAGGCAAUCCCCUGGGCCUGUACUGACGCUCAUGCACGAAAGCGUGGGGAGCAAACAGG
rnacentral:rRNA from 1 species